GAUGAACGCUGGCGGCGUGCCUAAUACAUGCAAGUCGAGCGAAUGGAUUAAGAGCUUGCUCUUAUGAAGUUAGCGGCGGACGGGUGAGUAACACGUGGGUAACCUGCCCAUAAGACUGGGAUAACUCCGGGAAACCGGGGCUAAUACCGGAUAACAUUUUGAACCGCAUGGUUCGAAAUUGAAAGGCGGCUUCGGCUGUCACUUAUGGAUGGACCCGCGUCGCAUUAGCUAGUUGGUGAGGUAACGGCUCACCAAGGCAACGAUGCGUAGCCGGACUGAGAGGGUGAUAGGCCACACUGGGACUGAGACACGGCCCAGACUCCUACGGGAGGCAGCAGUAGGGAAUCUUCCGCAAUGGACGAAAGUCUGACGGAGCAACGCCGCGUGAGUGAUGAAGGCUUUCGGGUCGUAGAACUCUGUUGUUAGGGAAGAACAAGUGCUAGUUGAAUAAGCUGGCACCUUGACGGUACCUAACCAGAAAGCCACGGCUAACUACGUGCCAGCCGCCGCAGUAA
rnacentral:rRNA from 1 species